rnacentral:rRNA from 1 species
AUCCGCUCCGAUCUGAUAUGUAAAUCCAAGUAAGUAAAGGGGCCUCUAGGGAUGUCUAGGCAAUGGUCCGGUAAGAGGAAUCUUGCCUAAGAGUCGUAGGAACUUUCCUAUCCUCGAUCAAUCUAAAGGAUGUUCCCUAUUACCCUGGGAACUGAAACAUCUAAGUACCAGGAGGAAAGAAAAUCAACCGAGAGUCCAGAAGUAGUGGCGAGCGAACCUGGAGUAGCCAUCAAAGGGGAACCUUCCUCUUGAGGCUAAGUAUGGACCAAUGACCGAUAGAGCAGAGUACCGUGAGGGAAGGAUGAAAAAGCAGGUAGAAGACUGGUGAAAAGAGCCUGAAGUAGAGGCUCCAGAAGCAGCUGGUAUCAUCAGACCCGAACCCAGGUGAACUUGCCAUGGCCAAGUGUUAAGACUGAACGGGUGUCCGUUGCAAGGGGCUCCGAUGAGCUGUGGCAAGGGGUGAAAGGCCAAUCUUACCUGGAGCUAGCUGGUUUACCGCGAAACCGUUACUAGCUGGUACGGCACUGGAAUGCGUGCAUCACUGCUUGAACGGGGGGCUAUAAUGGCUCUAUCGUCCCUUUCUAACCCCGGAAUUGCUAGUAUACAAAGGUGGGUAAUCAGACCAUUCAUGAUAAGGUGAUUGGUCAAAAGGGCAACAGCCCUGAACAGGGGGUAAGGUCCCUAAGUUCUACUGAGUGAUAACAAGGCAGUCCUCACCAGAGUCUUUCCACCAAGUGGGCUUGGAAGCAGCCACCUUUUUGUGAAAGCGUAACAGCUCAGUGGUAAUUAUCGGGUAUAUUUGAAGUCAAAGUGAGGGCGCCGAUAAUCUAACGGGUCUAAGUAGAAGUCUCGGGGUAGCGGUACUCCCAGCAAAUGGAUUGAAGCUGGGUCAUCGACCCGGUGGACAUAGCCGGGGUGAGAAUGCUGACAUGAGUAGCGUUAAAGCAGGGGAUAUCCCCUAAUCGCCGUAAGCAGAAGGGUUUCAUGAGUAAGGUGAAUACCACCAUGAGUAAGGCUCCGGCCUCUAAGGCACCGGAUACUUCCCGAGUCCCGAUGAGUCACUCUAACUGAUCCCCAGUAACCUAUCUUUAAAGAUUACCUAAACCGUACCCUAAUCCGACGCAGGUCUGCAGGUUCACGAUACCUAGGCGUAGAGGAAAUCCUCUUGAAGGAACUCGGCAAUCUAACCCCGUAACUUAGGGAGAAGGGGUGCCAUGGCGGCACUAAAAAGGGGGGCGCGUCUGUUUACUUAAAAACCGGACUCUGCUAACUCAUGCGUGGAUGUAUAGAGUCUGAUACCUGCCCGAUGCUAGUUAAUGAACUUAGCCGUUCAAGGAUGGCAAGGUAACCUCUAGUUAAUGGCGGCUGUAACCUUGACGGUCCUAAGGUAGCGAAAUUUCUUGGCAUUUAAAUGAUGUCCCGCAUGAAAGGUUUAACGAUGCUCCCACUGUCUCCAAGAGGACCUCGGCGAAAUUGAAUUAUCCGUGAAGAUGCGGAUUACCCCCAGGUAGACGAGAAGACCCUUUGAAGCUUGACUGCAUCUACCUACUCUGGUACCGGUACUCGGGAAGGAGUCUACAAGGGAGUUGACUAGACACCAGUGAGAUACCUUGACCUAGGUACUAGUAACUCAAUAAAUGGUGGUUAGAAGGCAGUUUUUUUGGGGCGAAAUCCUCACCUAAAGUAACUGAGGAGUCCGAAGGUGUGCAUAUCCUAGGUAGGUAACCUAAUUAACCCGUUGGAGAGGGUAAUAAAAAGCGCAAUGGCAUAAGCAUGCUUGACUGCAUGAGCUACAACUCUAGCAGGAAAGAGAUGGGCCUCAAGGCCCAUGAACCAAAGCUUUGGUUCAUCCGCCCCUAGUUAUCCCCCCUUUUGACGAGGUUCAGUCCGCACUGUUAAGGGCGGAUCGAGUCGUCCUUAAGAAAAAAGGAGGCCUCCGUUGGAGGCCCCCCUAAACCCCCCGGCCUUUAGAGUGCGGACCUUAAGCUUGAACCCUCUACUUGAACCCUGUAUAGUACUCCACCUUAAUUGGCUUAAGAGGGCGGGCCCCAAGGCAAUGAUUCGUCUUAUAUAAACAGACGAAAAGCUAUAUUAAAUUACUGUGAUUGCCAGUAACGGUUUUAUUGCUCAAAUUUGAAAGUCUUCAUUGACUUUUUCCAUGAGGCGUCGAGUUUUCCAUGCAGUAGAGCCUAAGGACGGAUUUAUCGCCUUUUAUAAGGCGCGACGUCCGAGUAGAGUAACAACAGGGGGCAGCUAGGGGCUUUAGGCAACUAGGGCAUAGUGACCCGGUGAUACAUUAAGGGAUGGUCAUCGAUCAACGGAUAAAAGCUACUCAAGGGAUAACAGGCUGAUCCCCCGCGAGAGUCCAUAUUGACUGGGGGGUUUGGCACCUCGAUGUCGGCUCAUCCUAACCUAGAGCUGAAUAAGGUUCUAAGGGUUCGGCUGUUCGCCGAGUAAAAGGGUACGUGAGCUGGGUUAAGUACGACGCGAGUCAGUACGGCUUCUAUCUUCUGGGGGGAGAAGGAAGUAUCGAGGAAGCUGGCAGUGGUACGCAAGGAUUCUGCUGAAAUUACCUCUUGUGUACCUGUUGUUUAAGGUAACUAAAGAAGUGCCUGAGCAUAGCAGGGUAGCUACGUAAGUAAUAGAUAACCGCUGAAUCCAUAUAAGCGGGAAACUAACCCUUUUAACUUCCUUCCUUAUUAAGACUUAAGGAAUAAUACCUUAUUAAUAGGUUGACAGUGUAAUUGUGGUAACGCAUUUAGCUAUUUAAUACUAACAGUCAAGUAACUUGGAUUUAC